rnacentral:rRNA from 1 species
UGGGAAUUUUGGACAAUGGGCGCAAGCCUGGUCCAGCCAUGCCGCGUGCGGGAAGAAGGCCUUCGGGUUGUAAACCGCUUUUGUCAGGGAAGAAAUCUUCUGAGUUAAUACCUCGGGGAGGAUGACGGUACCUGAAGAAUAAGCACCGGCUAACUACGUGCCAGCAGCCGCGGUAAUACGUAGGGUGCAAGCGUUAAUCGGAAUUACUGGGCGUAAAGCGUGCGCAGGCGGUUUUGUAAGACAGAGGUGAAAUCCCCGGGCUCAACCUGGGAACUGCCUUUGUGACUGCAAGGCUUGAGUGCGGCAGAGGGGGAUGGAAUUCCGCGUGUAGCAGUGAAAUGCGUAGAUAUGCGGAGGAACACCGAUGGCGAAGGCAAUCCCCUGGGCCUGCACUGACGCUCAUGCACGAAAGCGUGGGGAGCAAAACAGGNUUAGAUACCCCUGGUAGUCCACGCCCUAAAACGAUGUCAACU